CUAUAGGGCGAAUUGAAUUUAGCGGCCGCGAAUUCGCCCUUAGAGUUUGAUCAUGGCUCAGGACGAACGCUGGCGGCGUGCUUAACACAUGCAAGUCGAACGAUGAAGCCCUUCGGGGUGGAUUAGUGGCGAACGGGUGAGUAACACGUGGGCAAUCUGCCCUUCACUCUGGGACAAGCCCUGGAAACGGGGUCUAAUACCGGAUAACACCGGCUUCCGCAUGGGAGCUGGUUAAAAGCUCCGGCGGUGAAGGAUGAGCCCGCGGCCUAUCAGCUUGUUGGUGGGGUAAUGGCCUACCAAGGCGACGACGGGUAGCCGGCCUGAGAGGGCGACCGGCCACACUGGGACUGAGACACGGCCCAGACUCCUACGGGAGGCAGCAGUGGGGAAUAUUGCACAAUGGGCGAAAGCCUGAUGCAGCGACGCCGCGUGAGGGAUGACGGCCUUCGGGUUGUAAACCUCUUUCAGCAGGGAAGAAGCGAAAGUGACGGUACCUGCAGAAGAAGCGCCGGCUAACUACGUGCCAGCAGCCGCGGUAAUACGUAGGGCGCAAGCGUUGUCCGGAAUUAUUGGGCGUAAAGAGCUCGUAGGCGGCUUGUCACGUCGGGUGUGAAAGCCCGGGGCUUAACCCCGGGUCUGCAUCCGAUACGGGCAGGCUAGAGUGUGGUAGGGGAGAUCGGAAUUCCUGGUGUAGCGGUGAAAUGCGCAGAUAUCAGGAGGAACACCGGUGGCGAAGGCGGAUCUCUGGGCCAUUACUGACGCUGAGGAGCGAAAGCGUGGGGAGCGAACAGGAUUAGAUACCCUGGUAGUCCACGCCGUAAACGUUGGGAACUAGGUGUUGGCGACAUUCCACGUCGUCGGUGCCGCAGCUAACGCAUUAAGUUCCCCGCCUGGGGAGUACGGCCGCAAGGCUAAAACUCAAAUGAAUUGACGGGG
rnacentral:rRNA from 1 species